CCCAACUGCAAGACCAGAGGCUACUGAAAGGAAGAUACUAUCUCUUCUUGAGCUUCCGAUUGACAUACCGAGAUUGAUUCAAUGAAAGUCCCUAGCGCAGGUGAGACCUAAUUCUAUGUUUACUUUUCAUUCAAAUCAGCUUCCUGAUGACUAAAGAAGACUUUUAUCCUGGCGGUUGUUGGUCCAACGACUCUUCUUCUUUCUUUUGAAAUAUCGUAAGAGAAGAAGGUUGACAAGAAGAAUAAUUUGUCUCCUGUGAUUGUAGUUCAAUCGGUCGUUUGUCUCUAGAAGAAAGAAGCCUACUUGUAGAAGAGAAGAAGCGGGGUAGAGGAAUUGGUCAACU
rnacentral:sRNA from 1 species